rnacentral:sRNA from 1 species
AUAAAGAUGAAAAGGACA